AUUGAACGCUGGCGGCAUGCCUAACACAUGCAAGUCGAACGGCAGCAUGGUCUGUAGCAAUACAGAUUGAUGGCGAGUGGCGGACGGGUGAGUAACGCGUAGGGAUCUGCCCUGUAGAGGGGGACAACCCGGGGAAACCCGGGCUAAUACCGCAUAGUACUCUGAGGAGGAAAGCUGGCAGGCAACUGCUGGCGCUAUGGGAGGAACCUGCGUCCGAUUAGCCAGUUGGUGAGGUAAUGGCUCACCAAAGCGAUGAUCGGUAGCUGGUCUGAGAGGAUGACCAGCCACACUGGGACUGAGACACGGCCCAGACUCCUACGGGAGGCAGCAGUGGGGAAUACUGGACAGUGGGGGCAACCCUGAUCCAGCAAUGCCGCGUGUGUGAAGAAGGCCUUCGGGUUGUAAAGCACUUUGGGCGGGGAAGAAGGUAAGGUGUUUAAGAGAUGCUUUACUUGACUGUACCCGCAGAACUAGCACCGGCUAACUCUGUGCCAGCAGCCGCCGUAA
rnacentral:rRNA from 1 species